GAUGAACGCUGGCGGCGUGCCUAACACAUGCAAGUCGAACGGAGCUGCUUUAUUGAAACUUCGGUCGAUUUAAUUUAAUUCUAGUGGCGGACGGGUGAGUAACGCGUGGGUAACCUGCCUUAUACAGGGGGAUAACAGUCAGAAAUGGCUGCUAAUACCGCAUAAGCGCACAGAGCUGCAUGGCUCAGUGUGAAAAACUCCGGUGGUAUAAGAUGGACCCGCGUUGGAUUAGCUAGUUGGUGGGGUAACGGCCCACCAAGGCGACGAUCCAUAGCCGGCCUGAGAGGGUGAACGGCCACAUUGGGACUGAGACACGGCCCAGACUCCUACGGGAGGCAGCAGUGGGGAAUAUUGCACAAUGGGGGAAACCCUGAUGCAGCGACGCCGCGUGAAGGAAGAAGUAUCUCGGUAUGUAAACUUCUAUCAGCAGGGAGGAUAGUGACGGUACCUGACUAAGAAGCCCCGGCUAACUACGUGCCAGCCGCCGCGGUAAAAC
rnacentral:rRNA from 1 species